UUCUUUGAGCAUAAGUUCAAAUAUUAGCACAGAGAAGAAAUAAAAUACAGUUAAUAUUCCCUCGACAGAUUUCGAAGACAGACUUCAGCGAAAGAAUGAAUGGAUUGAUUUUAAUUUCAGCUGUGGUGUCUUGGUGCUUGAUUGAUGAUGUAAUUAUGGCACGUAUGCCAGCAAGUCCAUGUCUGGAAGAAAUGGACCCAGGUUAUGGCGAUAACUGGUCAGAUAGAUAUUACUACGAUCGGAAGAAAAAGCAAUGUAUA